rnacentral:rRNA from 1 species
GGCCUAACACAUGCAAGUCGAGCGGUAGCACAGAGAGCUUGCUCUCGGGUGACGAGCGGCGGACGGGUGAGUAAUGUCUGGGAAACUGCCUGAUGGAGGGGGAUAACUACUGGAAACGGUAGCUAAUACCGCAUAAUGUCGCAAGACCAAAGUGGGGGACCUUCGGGCCUCAUGCCAUCAGAUGUGCCCAGAUGGGAUUAGCUAGUAGGUGGGGUAACGGCUCACCUAGGCGACGAUCCCUAGCUGUUCUGAGAGGAUGACCAGCCACACUGGAACUGAGACA